CUGAGUUCCUGGGAAGAUCGCGAUGAAAACUGACUCCCUCAUUGGCCUGACAGCCCUCCUCGAUGUCACAUCAGCACCCCUUGAAAAACAUCCCUGGAGACUGAAGAGGAGGAUGACUUGCCCAGGGGACCCCAAGGGGCUCCGUCCUGCCUGCCUGCCCUCAGACAGCAUUCCAGGUUCCGUGAGGACUGAGAUGUUGCACACGGUGUACUCAACCCUGACCCUGGCACGUAGCAGAUACUCACACAAUGGAAAGCUAUUGCGUCUGCCUCUUCACCCCACGUAAAGUGGGAAAGCCCCUCACUCCAGUUCCCGAAUUCAGUUCAAUGACCACACCAUAUUGUGGACCCUGCCUUCCCACUCAGACCUUGUGCUCUCCCUGUGAGCUUCAGGCAGCAAACUACAGCGAGUGCCUUCUACAUGUUAAGCCCUGCCCUGCCCUGGUGACAGCAGAAAUGACAAAGGCCCACUCAGAGGGAAAUAGGACAACCAUGUCCUCGGAGUGACACUCGACAGGCUGUACUGGGACCAAGCCCUGGCCCACUAUUGGUGCCUCUAGGGCACCAUCCACAUAGGA